GAUGAAGAACGUAGCGAAAUGCGAUAAGUAAUGUGAAUUGCAGAAUUCAGUGAAUCAUCGAAUCUUUGAACGCACAUUGCGCCCUUUGGUAUUCCGAAGGGCAUGCCUGUUCGAGCGUCAUUUCACCACUCAAGCCUGGCCUGGUAUUGGGCGCCGCGGUCGAUCCGCGCGCCUCAAAGUCUCCGGCUGAGCUGUCCGUCUCUAAGCGUUGUGAUUUCAUUAAUCGCUUCGGAGUGCGGGCGGCCGCGGCCGUUAAAUCUUUCACAAGGUUGACCUCGGAUCAGGUAGGGAUACCCGCUGAACUUAAGCAUAUCAAUAAGCGGAGGA
rnacentral:misc_RNA from 1 species